UUUGUUUUUACACAUGAAAAACUAUUUCUAAUCUCUAAUUUUACAUUAAAUGUAUGCAUUUUUCUUUGUUAAUUAUCUUUUGUUUGUGUUUGUUAAGACACGAAAUAAAGAGCCAAGCGAUACAAAGAAUCGUAUGAGUGGCUUUUAUUGUUCGCUGUUCAUCGCACGCUUACACAAGGACAUGUGUGUUUCGCUCUGGAUUCAAUUUGUAUAUUCAUUCUCGGUAUUGACCCAAUGCUUGCAUAUUUAAUGAAGAGCAUAGAACUGUCUUACACGGCACUGUUUACCUGAAUAUCGGUGAACGACCGACAUUAAAUUGGCAAACAUGUGUAUCUGAAAACGAAUCAACUGUUUUACUUCUACUCUCAUGUGCGAAAAACAACAAAACAUCCCGCAUAUCUUUAUCAUUUAUUUGACUAUAAAAUUCCAUAUAGAUGACGUUGUUUAUCAUUUAAUAAAAAUUAAUAAUUGGUCACAAAAAUUGUAUGCACA